AGUACAACCAGGAACACAAGAGGACACUGUAGAAAAUUGAGGAAGGGAAGAUGCUUGAGAGACAAAGAAAUAUAGCUUCCCGCAAGGAAAUAAAGAGGUUUGGAACAGACUAAGUGAGGAUGUAGUAUCGGCGAGGAGUGUGCAAAGCUUUAAGGAAAAGUUGGACAAAUAUAGAUACGGAGACGGGACCACACAAGCGUAAAGCCCAGGCCCUGUAAAACUACAAAUAGGUCAGAUGAGCCACAACGUGCGCAGGUCACAACAGGUCACCACAUGCAGGUCGGAGGUCACACAGCCACCGUCCACAACCUGACCCCUAAGAGUGGAUACCAGCUGUCUGGAGUGGACACAGAAGUGGAUUCCUUACAGCAUCGGGACUCCCGUCAAGAUCUCGGUCACCCUCGGAGUCUCGUCACUGGCAACUUCCCGAGGAGCUGCGUCGGCGCGUCACACUCCACCUCCAAGCUAACCCAGGACUGUCCCAGGCUGAGCUGCAUGACAUAACCUAUACUAAGAUCGAACCCGCCUGCAACCUCAAGAUCAAGUACGGGUCACCCUAGCCUAGGAGACAGAGUAGCCCUCGCCGAUCUAAGAGGCCUCAGCAUCACCAGACCUUGGGAGCAGCAGCAGCCCAGUGCCAACACCAGGCCACAAGACCCCAGGCUGCCCAGCCCACCGCCAGUGCCGGGGAUCUUCAGACCCGUCUCCAGCCUUAGGGAAUGGAGG